AGUGAACGCUGGCGGUAGGCCUAACACAUGCAAGUCGAACGGCAGCACAGUAAGAGCUUGCUCUUACGGGUGGCGAGUGGCGGACGGGUGAUGAAUACAUCGGAAUCUACUUUUUCGUGGGGGAUAACGUAGGGAAACUUACGCUAAUACCGCAUACGACCUACGGGUGAAAGCAGGGGAUCUUCGGACCUUGCGCGAUUGAAUGGGCCGAUGUCGGAUUAGCUAGUUGGCGGGGUAAAGGCCCACCAAGGCGACGAUCCGUAGCUGGUCUGAGAGGAUGAUCAGCCACACUGGAACUGAGACACGGUCCAGACUCCUACGGGAGGCAGCAGUGGGGAAUAUUGGACAAUGGGCGCAAGCCUGAUCCAGCCAUACCGCGUGGGUGAAGAAGGCCUUCGGGUUGUAAAGCCCUUUUGUUGGGAAAGAAAAGCAGCAGGUUAAUACCCCGCUGUUCUGACGGUACCCAAAGAAUAAGCACCGGCUAACUUCGUG
rnacentral:rRNA from 1 species